rnacentral:rRNA from 1 species
AACGAACGCUGGCGGCAUGCCUAACACAUGCAAGUCGAACGAAGGCUUCGGCCUUAGUGGCGCACGGGUGCGUAACGCGUGGGAAUCUGCCCCUCGGUUCGGAAUAACAGUUAGAAAUGACUGCUAAUACCGGAUGAUGACUUCGGUCCAAAGAUUUCUCGCCGAGGGAUGAGCCCGCGUAAGAUUAGGUAGUUGGUGGGGUAAAGGCCUACCAAGCCGACGAUCUUUAGCUGGUCUGAGAGGAUGAUCAGCCACACUGGGACUGAGACACGGCCCAGACUCCUACGGGAGGCAGCAGUGGGGAAUAUUGGACAAUGGGCGAAAGCCUGAUCCAGCAAUGCCGCGUGAGUGAUGAAGGCCUUAGGGUUGUAAAGCUCUUUUACCAGGGAUGAUAAUGACAGUACCUGGAGAAUAAGCUCCGGCUAACUCCGUGCCAGCAGCCGCCGUAA